ACGUAUUGAGUAAAUAAUAACUUUUGAGAACAAAAUUAAGCUUAAUUUACAAGAAUUUUCCUAUAAACAAUUUUAUUAGUAAUAAAUAAAUUAAUUUUAUGAGCAGCUUAAAUUUUACGAAUGACUUUAAUCUGGCAACGCCGGUCAUGCUUUGGUCGUUUGCAAUUGAAGGAUCCGCAUGUCCUCUCGUCCGUUGCAUCGAUUUUUUUAAAUUUUCUGACGAAAAAGUGCGUUUAGUGUACACAAUUUAUGCGUAAUCUGUUACUAGUGCCCUGCUUAGCCUCCUGAAAAAGCGCGUUAUAUUAAUACUACAACACCACACACUCCUUCCCCACUCACACGAGCAUUGCUAGCUCUCUGUGUUGGUUAAUAAAAUUUCCUAAUUCAACAUUAGUGAAUUUCGUUAGCUGAUGUGGUUGGUUAACAGUGUUUUUGUCGGUGUGGAUCCCCGGCUUAAGAUGACUACAGAACGUGGCGCGGCCUUCCCCAAGAGAGGAGACUUCUUGGGUCACCCCCUAACCCUGAUGUUCGGGCAUCGAUGACCUGUGUAGCAUGCAGAGGUACCCAAGGGAGUCACCACCCUCUGAUUUACGAGCUAGGUGUUCUAAU
rnacentral:lncRNA from 1 species